rnacentral:lncRNA from 1 species
CGGGAGAGAGCCAAAGACCUGGAAGCCCUACGAGUGCUCAGCAGGACCACUUCUUUCGAAAACUCGGAUUUGACGAUCCAACCUGUGUGGCUCUUCUCCCGGCUUGUGUUGUGGUCCCGAGUGUGUCCGUCCUCUCUUUGGGACGCCAAGAGGGGCAACCUUAACUAAACCGCCCAGUGUCCACGCAUCUAGUCCUCCCCCUUCUGUGCCUCCACCGCAUCCCCCGGUUCCGUCACCUCGGAACGCAGACCUUUGCUUCCCUGGGCCACUCCACGAGAGUGGAGGCUCUCGUGGGCCCCAGCCCAGGCUCCCGCCAGGCACUUAGCCGUUCUGCAGCGUUUUGUGACUUGGUUUUUCCUUCGAGGGUUACCUGAAAUAUUGACUGGUAUAAAAUAGAUAUCUGCAUGCUCUGUACUUUUUUUUUUUUUUUUAACUUUUGUAUUUAACCCGGCUCCACUCUUGUCCAGGCUGGGGAAGACCGGUGGACCGCCGGAGGUUGGAGCGCCGGCCUGCUCCGACGUUCCCUUGUGCAGGUCCCCUCAAUUCUGUGAGUCUCCGUUUAUUCUUGUGUAAAAUGUGUAGAUUGGACUUGAGACUCUUGAGGCUUUCCCGGAGGAGACCGAUGAUCUGUCAAUAGGCAUGUUUGCGUACAAGCAUGUUGAGAGUUUCACAUCGUUUAUCUUCCCAGGAAAUGCUAUGGGAAAUCAAAUAGAAGGGAUAGCGUAGCCCACAUUUUACACGCACACACGCACUCACACGAAAGAAAGAAAAGGAAAUUAAAGGAGGAUCUCAAUGGUGAAACUAAAGCCUUUCCUGUUGAAGUCAGGACCAAGGUUUACUGGAUUGUUAAAGGAAAUUGGGCAAUCUAAAUAUUUUAAAAACGGUGCAAGUAUAGAUUAUUUAAUUGGGUGACCUGGGAAGAGAAAGACCAGAGUGAAAGGAAAAGAGUCUAAAAGUCUCUGAAUAUACUUCGUUUAAUAUAUAUGAAUUUGGAAAUAUAUUUUUACAUUAUUAUUAUUAUUAUUUGAAAAUAAAUCUCUAAAAAUUGAAAGUGAAAUGUGUGUCAGAUGUCUUUAGAAAUGACUUUAAAC